GCACCAUUUUAGAGGCACACUUGGAAAGGACUCAGUUGGAUCCAAAAUAGCCAAUCCAAACUCAAGAUUCUGUCAGGGAUCAGUGAGCUUUGACAGGUGUCCUUGCAUUUCACUAACGACAACUGGGCCCUACGGAGAGCUCUGUACAAGGACGUCAUGGUGGAGGUUCAUGAGAUGGUGGCCUCUCAGGGAGAUGUUUGGGGGGUCCUGGAUGAGGAGGAGCCAUCAGACGUCUGGCCAGAAAGAGCUGAGGAGCAAGAGAAGGAAAGGAAGUUGGGGGUUCAAGAUGGAGCCAACAAACA